GAUGAACGCUAGCGGCAGGCUUAACACAUGCAAGUCGAGGGGUAUAGGGAGCUUGCUCCCUAGAGACCGGCGCACGGGUGCGUAACGCGUAUGCAAUCUACCUUUUACAGGGGGAUAGCCCAGAGAAAUUUGGAUUAAUACCCCAUGGUAUAUGUGAAUGGCAUCAUUUAUAUAUUAAAGUCACAACGGUAAAAGAUGAG
rnacentral:rRNA from 1 species